rnacentral:rRNA from 1 species
AUGGGGCUCUUCUCCGGUGCCGGCAGCAGCAAGUCCAAGGGCAAGGCCCCCGCCAUCCCUUUCCCCUCUGAGUUUGUACCGCCUCCGCCGGCGCCGGCUCGCCGACAGAGGGUGCGAGUGAGUGUGGCAGUGCACCAGGCGGAGUGGCACUGGCAGCACCGCGUCCCUCUGCCGUACCCCAACGUCACCCUGCCGCACGACUGGCAUCUGGAUCCAGAGAGGAUCCCAGUGCCAGCGGCGCCGCGGUCUACUAGGGCGCACGCGGAGGAGGUGUGGCGCCGGCGGGCAAUGCUGACGCCGAGGCAGCGCCGCGAGGUCGACCGCAGCGUGCCGCUGCCCCGGCUCGUCGUCUGGGAGGAAGACCAGGCGGCCCUUGCGGUGGUCUACCGCAAGAGCGAGGAGGACGAGCGGUGCAGGGUGGAGGCGGUGGAGGAAGAGGAGGCUCGCUACGAGGCUGCCAUGGCGCAGGCCCUCGCCCUCUCCGCGGCCGGCGAUUGCGUCGUGCCGCCGGUGGCCCCACCGUCCCCUCCCCGACGGCUCGUCAAGGCGGACCCGGAGCCGCAGCCGGAGCCUGAGCCGGAGCCAGAUCCCAUGGCGCGCUUCGCCUAG